AAAAAAGUAAGCUAAUCAAGCUCCUGGGUUCAUACCCCAUCAAUAAAGGUUUUAAUCCUUUCUUUUUUA
rnacentral:tRNA from 1 species